rnacentral:lncRNA from 1 species
AAAAAAAAGAAGAAAAAUUUGAAAGGAGAAAAAGUCAAUGAAAAAUGAUAAAAAUGCAAUAGAAAAUAACCAAGAAUGAUAAAAGAAAAAAAGAUAGAAAAAUAAAAAAUUCCAAAACUUUAUAAAAAUUUAUGAAACUAUAAAUAAAGAAAGAAAAUAAGAAAAAAAUUAGAGCAAAAGAAAAAAGAUAAAUAAAGCACAAAAAAAAGAAAAAGGUAAGAAAAUAAAAAAGGACAAAAAAAUAAAAAAUGAAAUGGAAUGACAAAAUGAAAAAAAAUAGUUUAAAAAAUACAAAAAAUUGAAAAACAUAUAAGACCUAACAAUAUAAAAAGUCAGACAAAAAAUUAAAAAAGAGAAAAGUGAAUGCAAAAUAAAAAAUAUGAGAAAUUUAAAACCAAAUAAGAAAUGAAAGAAAAUUUGUGGAAAAAAAAAAAAAAAGCAAGAAAAAAUAAAAAUGAAAAGGCAAAAAUUUGGAAUAAAAAACAGAAAAAUAAAAAUUUUUAAAACAACGAAAAAAUAAAAACAAGUAAAAAUGAAAGCAAAAAAAAAAAAAGGCAAAAAGGAAAAUUAUGAAGGGAAAAAGUUAUUAAAAAAUUACAAAGUCGAAACAAAAUAGCAAAAAAAUAAGAAAAUAAAAAAAAGAUUCAAAAAAUAAAAAAUAAAAAUUUAACUUUAUAAAAAUUUUUAAAAUAAAAAUAAAAAUUAAAUGAAGAAAAAAUUAAAUAAAAUACCAAAAAAGGAAAAAAUAAAAAAAACAAAAACAAAAAGUAACAAAGUAAGAAAAUAAAAAAUUAGCGAAUCAAAAAAAUAUAAAAAGACAAAAUGAAUAAAAAUUUCAAAUAUAAAAUGGAAAAAACUUUUAGUUUAGAAUGUACAAAGAAAAAAAAAAUAACAAAUAGAGGAAAAAGAUAUAAAAUAUGAAAGAUGAAAAAAAAAAAAGUUAAUAAAAAAUAUAAAAUUAUAAAGAAGAAAUAAAAAAAAGUGUGAACAAAAAGAUUUAAGAAAAAGCAAGAAAAAAAAUAAAAAGAAAAUACAAAAUAUAUAAAAUAAAAUUUGAGAAAAAAAUGAAAAGAAGAAAAAAAAUAAAAAAUGAAGAGGCAAAAAUAUGAAAGAAAACAAAAAGAAAAAAAUUUAUAGAAAAUUUUAAAACAAAGAAAAAAGUGAACAAAAAAAAAUGAAAGCACAUAAAAAAAAAGAAGAAAAAUUUGAAAGGAGAAAAAGUUAAUGAAAAAUUAUAAAAAUGCAAUAGAAAAUAACCAAGAAUGAUAAAAGAAAAAAAGAUAGAAAAAUAAAAAAUUCCAAAACUUUAUAAAAAUUUAUGAAACUAUAAAUAAAGAAAGAAAAUAAAAAAUAAAAAUAAAAUAAGAAAAAAAUUAGAGCAAAAGAAAAAAGUAAGAAAAUAAAAAAGGACAAAAAUUGAAUAAAAAAUUCAAAAAUGAAAUGGAAUGACAAAAUGAAAAAAAAUUAGUUUAAAAAAUACAAAAAAUUGAAAAACAUAUAAGACCUAACAAUAUAAAAAGUCAGACAAAAAAUUAAAAAAGAGAAAAGUGAAUGCAAAAUAAAAAAAGUAUGAGAAUUUAAAAGCAAAUAAGAAAUGAAAGAAAAUUUGUGGAAAAAAAAAGCAAGAAAAAAAUAAAAAUGAAAAGACAAAAAUUUGGAAUAAAAAACAGAAAAAUAAAAAUUUUUAAAACAACGAAAAAAUAAAAACAAGUAAAAAUGAAAGCAUAUGAAAAAAAAAAAUAAAAAAGAAGGAAAAUUAUGAAGGGAAAAAGUUAUUAAAAAAUUACAAAGUCGAAACAAAAUAGCAAAAAAAAUAAAAAAUAAAAAAAGAUUCAAAAAAAAAAAAAAUUUUGAACUUUAUAAAAAAUUUUUAAAAUAAAAAUAAAAAUAAAUGAAAAAUAAAUUAAGAGAAAAAAUUAAAUAAAAUACCAAAAAAGGAAAAAAUAAAAAUAAACAAAAACAAAAAGUAACAAAGUAAGAAAAUAAAAAAUUAGCGAAUCAAAAAAAUAUAAAAAGACAAAAUGAAUAAAAAUUUCAAAUAUAAAAUGGAAAAAACUUUUAGUUUAGAAUGUACAAAGAAAAAAAAAUAACAAAUAGAGGAAAAAGAUAUAAAAUAUGAAAGAUGAAAAAUAAAAUAAAAGUUAAUAAAAAAUAUAAAAUUAUAAAGAAGAAAUAAAAAAAAGUGUGAACAAAAAGAUUUAAGAAAAAGCAAGAAAAAAAUAAAAAACGAAAAUACAAAAUAUAUAAAAUAAAAUUUGAGAAAAAAAAUGAAAAGAGAAAAAAAAUAAAGAAAACAAAAAGAAAAAAAAAAAAAUUUAUAGAAAAUUUUAAAACAAAGAAAAAAGUGAACAAAAAAAAUGAAAGCACAUAAAAAAAAGAAGAAAAAUUUGAAAGGAGAAAAAGUUAAUGAAAAAUUAUAAAAAUGCAAUAGAAAAUAACCAAGAAUGAUAAAAGAAAAAAAGAUAGAAAAAUAAAAAAUUCCAAAACUUUAUAAAAAUUUAUGAAACUAUAAAUAAAGAAAGAAAAAAAAAAAAUAAAAUAAGAAAAAAAUUAGAGCAAAAGAAAAAAGAUAAAUAAAGCACAAAAAAAAAAAAAGUAAGAAAAUAAAAAAGGACAAAAAUUGAAUAAAAAAUUCAAAAAUGAAAUGGAAUGACAAAAUGAAAAAAAAAUUAGUUUAAAAAAUACAAAAAAUUGAAAAACAUAUAAGACCUAACAAUAUAAAAAGUCAGACAAAAAAUUAAAAAAGAGAAAAGUGAAUGCAAAAUAAAAAAAGUAUGAGAAUUUAAAAGCAAAUAAGAAAUGAAAGAAAAUUUGUGGAAAAAAAGAAAAGAAAAGCAAGAAAAAAAUAAAAAUGAAAAGACAAAAAUUUGGAAUAAAAAAAAAAAAAAAAAUUUUUAAAACAACGAAAAAAUAAAAACAAGUAAAAAUGAAAGCAUAUGAAAAAAAAAAAAAAAGAAGGAAAAUUAUGAAGGGAAAAAGUUAUUAAAAAAUUACAAAGUCGAAACAAAAUAGCAAAAAAAAUAAGAAAAUAAAAAAUAAAAAAUUUGAACUUUAUAAAAAUUUUUAAAAUAAAAAUAAAAAUAAAUGAAAAAUAAAUUAAGAGAAAAAAUUAAAUAAAAUACCAAAAAAGGAAAAAAUAAAAAUAAACAAAAACAAAAAGUAACAAAGUAAGAAAAUAAAAAAUUAGCGAAUCAAAAAAAUAUAAAAAGACAAAAUGAAUAAAAAUUUCAAAUAUAAAAUGGAAAAAACUUUUAGUUUAGAAUGUACAAAGAAAAAAAAAUAACAAAUAGAGGAAAAAGAUAUAAAAUAUGAAAGAUGAAAAAUAAAAUAAAAGUUAAUAAAAAAUAUAAAAUUAUAAAGAAGAAAUAAAAAAAAGUGUGAACAAAAAGAUUUAAGAAAAAGCAAGAAAAAAAAAAAAAAAAUACAAAAUAUAUAAAAUAAAAUUUGAGAAAAAAAAUGAAAAAGAAGAAAAAAAUAAAAAUGAAGAGGCAAAAAUAUGAAAGAAAACAAAAAGAAAAAAAUUUAUAGAAAAUUUUAAAACAAAGAAAAAAGUGAACAAAAAAAAUGAAAGCACAUAAAAAAAAGAAGAAAAAUUUGAAAGGAGAAAAAGUUAAUGAAAAAUUAUAAAAAUGCAAUAGAAAAUAACCAAGAAUGAUAAAAGAAAAAAAGAUAGAAAAAUAAAAAAUUCCAAAACUUUAUAAAAAUUUAUGAAACUAUAAAUAAAGAAAGAAAAUAAAAAAUAAAAAUAAAAUAAGAAAAAAAUUAGAGCAAAAGAAAAAAGAUAAAUAAAGCACAAAAAAAGAAAAAAGAAAAAAUUGAAUAAAAAAUUCAAAAAUGAAAUGGAAUGACAAAAUGAAAAAAAAAUUAGUUUAAAAAAUACAAAAAAUUGAAAAACAUAUAAGACCUAACAAUAUAAAAAGUCAGACAAAAAAUUAAAAAAGAGAAAAGUGAAUGCAAAAUAAAAAAAGUAUGAGAAUUUAAAACCGCAAAUAAGAAAUGAAAGAAAAUUUGUGGAAAAAAACAAAAGAAAAGCAAGAAAAAAAUAAAAAUGAAAAGGCAAAAAUUUGGAAUAAAAAACAGAAAAAUAAAAAUUUUUAAAACAACGAAAAAAUAAAAACAAGUAAAAAUGAAAGCAUAUGAAAAAAAAAUCAAAAAGAAGGCAAAAUUAUGAAGGGAAAAAGUUAUUAAAAAAUUACAAAGUCGAAACAAAAUAGCAAAAAAAAAUAAAAAAAAAAAUAAAAAAUUUGAACUUUAUAAAAAUUUUUAAAAUAAAAAUAAAAAUAAAAGAAAAAUAAAUUAAGAGAAAAAAUUAAAUAAAAUACCAAAAAAAAUAAAAAAUAACAAUAAACAAAAACAAAAAGUAACAAAGUAAGAAAAUAAAAAAUUAGCGAAUCAAAAAAAUAUAAAAAGACAAAAUGAAUAAAAAUUUCAAAUAUAAAAUGGAAAAAACUUUUAGUUUAGAAUGUACAAAGAAAAAAAAAUAACAAAUAGAGGAAAAAGAUAUAAAAUAUGAAAGAUGAAAAAUAAAAUAAAAGUUAAUAAAAAAUAUAAAAUUAUAAAGAAGAAAUAAAAA